rnacentral:pre_miRNA from 1 species
AGUGAAUUGCUAGGUUACAUAUCCACAGCAUAUUUAAUUUUUUAAGAAAUUGUCAAGAUUUUUGCCAAAAUGGCUGUGCUAUCUUACAUUCCUAGUAGUAAU